rnacentral:lncRNA from 1 species
CAAUAAGCACAUGCUUGUGAGAAGCAUUAAACAAUAAAAAUGUGACAGGAAGUGAUGGAAUGGUUCUGAGUGUCACCAGUUAAAGAAAGGUGAAGCGAGCCACCGGUUCACUUGCUCCAUGAUUAUAACUAAAAAAUUUCUUAAAGAAACUUCUACCAGCAACAUCUUCAGUCUACUCAGUUGAGGUUGCACUGGACUCCCACUGGGAAAAGGCAAACAACAUUCUCCAAGAAAUUUUGCAAAAAUAUUCUAACAGACUAAAUUUUCACAAUGAAGAAAACCAAUUUGGGAUCUGUGCUACGCACCAUCUACUUCAGCUUUGAAAAAGUAACACCAGCUGCAUUUGUGUAGUAUGGUUACCAAACUGUCAAAAACUUCUAGAAGAAAUCAGAUUGGCCUUCCUCACACGUGGUCUCACUUCUUCCUGCCUUGAGCUUCUCAAACCUAGUCUCUUCCGCUCCUCAAGCGCAAGGAACAGAGGACAGAGGGAAGCUGGAGCGCAAGCUAAGCAAGCCACAACAGCAAGGAGACACACAGUUGUCCUAGCACCACUGCAACAGCUGCAAAGAAGCAAGAAAAUGUGCGUGGGAGUUGCUCAAACGGUAGCAGCCUCAAGAGAAAUAUCUGUGGAAACAUGGUACAAAGCAGCAUUUGGGGGUGAUGCCAUCUUUAACAGAAGGAGCUGGCUGCAGAAGAGGACAUCGUGUCUAAAGCCCUGACUGAGUGGAAAGGAUCAGUCUGGCCCAUCAGGAGAAAGAUCGCCUAUUCUUACCAAAACCGCUCAGGGCUUGAAGCAAGAUCUUCCAGAAAUACAGCCUUGUGAAGAUCACCACUAUUUCCUUGAAGAAAAUUCACCCUCAAUUUCAUAAAAAUUGGGAAAUCACUACAGAUCAAGAGGAACCUGGGCCCAGCCAACCAAGACUAUUUUUCAUGCUGCUUCUGACACCAAUAGCUUCCGCGGGUCCACGAAGUCCUUGGGGGAGGUAAGCCUGCAUGUAGUAUCUUCCCCAGGAAUUCUCCAAGGACUCAACAUUGACACCACAUACAUCCUUCCUGGACAAUCUUUUCCUCCCAGGCUCCAACUACGUUACCUGUGUCAACUCCAAACAGGUAUCUGCAAAAAUUCCAGGAAAUAGGUUUGACAGGCAAGGACGGGAAAGGUCACAAAAGCAAAGAAACCAUUCUAGGUGAGAAAACGAAAAGGUGUAAUUUCAAAAUCCUGGAUCCUUUAUAUACAGAACUGAGGAUCAGCUAAUUGUGGCUUAUUUAGCACAUUGUUUACUAAAAAUAAACACUCGUAUCCUCUCUUCUCUGAGGUCA